UACGUAGGGUGCGAGCGUUGUCCGGAAUUACUGGGCGUAAAGAGCUCGUAGGUGGUUUGUCGCGUUGUCCGUGAAAACUCACAACUCAAUUGUGGGCGUGCGGGCGAUACGGGCAGACUGGAGUACUGCAGGGGAGACUGGAAUUCCUGGUGUAGCGGUGGAAUGCGCAGAUAUCGGGAGGAACACCGGUGGCGAAGGCGGAUCUCUGGGCCGUAACUGACGCUGAGGAGCGAAAGCAUGGGGAGCGAACAGG
rnacentral:rRNA from 1 species